GCAGAUAUAGUCUAGAGGUUAAGAUCCCUGACUUCCAAUCAGGAUACACGGGUUCGACUCCCGUUAUCUGCU
rnacentral:tRNA from 1 species